rnacentral:rRNA from 1 species
UACGAAGGGGGCUAGCGUUGCUCGGAAUUACUGGGCGUAAAGGGAGCGUAGGCGGCCAUUUAAGUCAGGGGUGAAAUCCCAGAGCUCAACUCUGGAACUGCCUUUGAUACUGGAUGUCUUGAGUGUGAGAGAGGUAUGUGGAACUCCGAGUGUAGAGGUGAAAUUCGUAGAUAUUCGGAAGAACACCAGUGGCGAAGGCGACAUACUGGCUCAUUACUGACGCUGAGGCUCGAAAGCGUGGGGAGCAAACAGG